rnacentral:RNase_P_RNA from 1 species
ACAGGCUAUUCACUUGCUUGUUCAAAUAACUAGGUGAGCUAGUUCUGUAUUAUUACGCAAACCAGCAUGGGAGUAAGGACGGAGAUUUUCACCAGCGACAUGGCGACUUGCCGGCUAGGUAAACCCCACCUGGAGCAAGACCGAAUAGAGGAGCAAUGGGGCUGCCCGUCCCGCUCCCGGGUUAGUUGCUGGAGGCCACUGGCAACAGUGGUUCGAGAUAGAUGACCGUCCAAGACAGGACUCAGCUUAUAGGUUUACUCACUUA